CGGACGGGUGAGUAACGCGUGAGAAUCUACCUUCAGGUCGGGGAUAACCCCUGGAAACGGGGGCUAAUACCGGAUAGGUCGAAAGAUGAAAGGUUAACUGCCUGAAGAGGGGCUCGCGUCUGAUUAGCUAGUAGGUGUGGUAAGAGCGCACCUAGGCGACGAUCAGUAGCUGGUCUGAGAGGAUGAGCAGCCACACUGGGACUGAGACACGGCCCAGACUCCUACGGGAGGCAGCAGUGGGGAAUUUUCCGCAAUGGGCGAAAGCCUGACGGAGCAAGACCGCGUGGGGGAGGAAGGCCUUUGGGUUGUAAACCCCUUUUGUUAGGGAAGAAAAAAAUGACGGUACCUAACGAAUCAGCCUCGGCUAACUCCGUGCCAGCAGCCGCGGUAAUACGGAGGAGGCAAGCGUUAUCCGGAAUUAUUGGGCGUAAAGCGUCCGUAGGUGGCCCGGCAAGUCUGCUGUCAAAGACCACAGCUCAACUGUGGAAAGGCAGUGGAAACUGCAAGGCUAGAGUGCGGUAGGGGUAGAGGGAAUUCCCAGUGUAGCGGUGAAAUGCGUAGAGAUUGGGAAGAACACCGGUGGCGAAAGCGCUCUACUGGGCCGCAACUGACACUGAUGGACGAAAGCUAGGGGAGCGAAUGGGAUUAGAUACCCCAGUAGUCCUAGCUGUAAACGAUGGAAACUAGGUGUAGCACGUAUCGACCCGUGCUGUAUCGGAGCUAACGCGUUAAGUUUCCCGC
rnacentral:rRNA from 2 species